rnacentral:rRNA from 1 species
UACGUAGGUGGCAAGCGUUGUCCGGAUUUACUGGGCGUAAAGAGCGCGCAGGCGGCCAGGUAAGUCGAAUGUGAAAGCCCCCGGCUCAACUGGGGAGAGUCAUUCGAUACUGCUUGGCUCGAAGAUGGGAGAGGGAAGCGGAAUUUCAGGUGUAGUGGUGAAAUGCGUAGAUAUCUGAAGGAACACCAGUGGCGAAGGCG